ACGGCCACAAAACGUUGAGACACCGGUUGUCGGACGAUCACUGAAGUUAAGCAACGUCGAGCCUGGUCAGUACCAAGAUGGGUAACCGCUUGGGAAUAACAGAUGCUGUAA